rnacentral:pre_miRNA from 1 species
AAAAAGACAAACUCUGGUUUCCGUGCCCAACGUUUAACCGUUCGUCUUAUUUGAAAAAAUUAUGAAAAAAAAUAAAAAGACAAGUCACGAAUAAAAUAUUAAUCAUAUUUUAUUAUCUAACAACAAUGAAAAUACGAAUUAUAAAAAAAUUUCAUAUAAGACGGACAGUUAAAAUUGGACACGGAAACCGAGGGUUUAUCUUUUU